rnacentral:rRNA from 1 species
UACGUAGGGUGCGAGCGUUAAUCGGAAUUACUGGGCGUAAAGCGUGCGCAGACGGUUGCGUAAGUCAGAUGUGAAAGCCCCGGGCUCAACCUGGGAAUUGCAUUUGAGACUGCGUAGCUAGGGUGCGGAAGAGGGAAGCGGAAUUUCCGGUGUAGCGGUGAAAUGCGUAGAUAUCGGAAGGAACACCAGUGGCGAAAGCGGCUUCCUGGUCCAGCACCGACGUCAGGCACGAAAGCGU